UUUCCCUGGAUUAUGUGGAGGAAACUGCUAUUUUCACUAUAUGGAUUAUGGUCAUUUAAGCAAAAAGUUUGAAGAGUGAGAAUCAAUCAAGUCCCAGGGACCGUUGUAAAGCUUUUGAUUAUACGUUUGCAGAUGGUUUUUAAUUUUCAUGGGUGUGACUGUGAGUAAGUAAACGAUCUGAACUGAACUAUCCUUAGAUUUUUGGAAAAGUAUAAAAGUGCAGCAUCUUCUUAUCACUUUAUGCACUUUUCAUGUGAGGUCUCGAAUCCAUCACUUUGAAAUUAACACUUUAGUAAGCUAUUCACUUGGUUGUUAUUUCUUCUUAAAGUUUUUGAAGCAGAAAACACAUUUGGCUGAUGGUUUCUAUAUCUAGGACUGGGAUAUGACUCAUUUUAGUUAUAAGUGCUGAUACACUGCUCAGUAGACUUUAUUCUUACUAUUAUAAGCUUUCUUUAAUAAGUUACACAUAAUCAUGUUGUCAGGGCAAUGUAACGCCUGUCUCAGAUCUUUGUCCGAUAACAUGUAUGCAUAAACCAAAUGUUUUGAUAGCUAUGAUUAUUGUAGGGUAAAUGAAGAACUCUGCAGCUUGUCAUUCUUAUCAGCAUAUACCCUUGGAGUAUGAGCUUUAUUUCAUGAAGUAAGUACUUAUGUUUAUGCGUAUGGUCCAUACCCAUAGGCAUUUACCUAUUCUUAGUAGUUGUUAGUGAUAUAUACUAGAGAGCACGCGGGAAUGCAUAUUCGGUGCUGAAAUCAUCUUUAAAGCCAAUUGAGAUAAACAAUAUGCUUCGAUGAAUUAUUCACAAUAGCAAUGGUUCACUCAGGGAUUCUGGUUUUCUGCUAAUGUAUACCCCUUUUUCUGAGAACCAUACUGAAACUGACCACUUCGUGUAUUGACUUCGUGUUGAUUAGUAGGAUUACAAAUGUUGUGUGGGAUGGGAUAAUAGUACUCCCCUAGCUUGCACAUGUUCAGGUUGUCCGAAAGUCAUUGGCUUUGAACCUUAGUGUCCAUCUUAUCAAAAUGAAAUCUGCGUUUACACUUCUUGAUGAUGUAUAUUUCACAUAUUGGGAUUUGUACCAAGUAGACAGGUUUUGUUUAACUAAUGCAGAGAAAGAGGAAGACUAUAGUAAUAAUUAGCUAAAACCACAAACCUAUUUGCAUAGCUUUGGUGAUAGUCCUUGAAGCUAAGAAUUUCACCAAACCUUACAGAAUCUCAAAUUAAAAGUAAUUUACACCUUGGUAUCUAUUGUUUGAUUUUGCCGUAGGAGGAUCAGAAUGAAGGAACAACGCCAUACCCUGUUUCGUACAUUAGCAUUGUGUUGAACCCAUGGUCCUCAUCUUCGAUUUCUAUCCUCUUUGCAAAACGACCAUUGACCCUUGGCCUUCUCUCUGCAUAUGCUUUUCUUGAAGCAUACCUUAUCGUCUUCUCAAAUUUCCUUGUCUUCCUCUUCUCUCUGUAUCUCAG
rnacentral:lncRNA from 1 species